AUUGUACCACUAUACUCCAGCCUGGGCGACAGAACGAGACGCUGUCCCUCCCUCCCCCCGCCCAAAAAAAGCAAGCAUAAAUGAUAAUGAAAGGAAUGCAAGUCAGGCUCUACCUCAAUCCCAGCUCCCAAAUAUCCCCUAAAAGCAGGCAACACCAACAGCACAUGCAAGAAGUGUCUCUUGGGUGCCCUCUUGCUGCCACCGGGGCUUCUCUGCAAAGCUGAAAUGGAUGUAUGUGCUACGAAACUGGUAGAGGGAAAAAGAGGGAGCCAGGGCACAGAAAAGGGAAGUUAUUCCAGUGGUGGCCAAUGAGUAACAUCCAGUGAUUUAUAGGCGGUAUAAUCCAAUAAUACAGUAAAAUAAAACAGUGUGUGCCUGAGAUGGUUUUGAUUCCAGGAAUUAUAAAACAUUUUUGAAAAAGAGAGAACAAGAGGGGGGGAGAGAAAAUGAAGGAAGAACAAAAAAAAGGCCAGAUUGGAGCAAAUUGGGCACAGAUGGGGGAUGCAAGGGGGUUUCAGUGCUCCCCUACAACAAUGCUGCUUCAAUUCUUCCCUUCGAGAAACUAGAGUUUUAUUUCCUUAAAUUACAAAAUUUUUAAAAAAUUAAAAUUCUUGGCGUACUUGUGGUUUAGAUCAAUAGGUCACCCUCCGGCAUCACGUCAACCAAUUAGAUGACUACCGAAGUGUUAAACACUGAGGCACGUGGAGAAAGCCCUUCCUCCCUUCAGGCUCAGGAAUGCCUUAGAGAGAUUACCAGUCAUGACAUCACUCUGGGAACCACCUAUCUCACCAUCAGCUUUGGACCUGGGCCAGUGUCCAAAGCUUUUCUACACACUUGAAAAGUAAUCACAGUAAAAUGUUAGCAACAAUAUGAUUUCCAUCCUGGAUUACUGAUAUUGUGAAAAGAAGACAGUUAUACAAGGGUGGCGCUGAACACACAAAAACAAAUGAUUCACGACAGCAUUAGAGGCAUCAGCAAGGGACACACUUUUAAAGAAAGGAAUCUGCUCCCUGUGGCUCUCCAAAUCAUACUCCUUAGGCACCACAUCUACAGGGAAGACUCAGGGAGAGACUGCGAGGAUCUCAGCUGCCUGGUGGGCCACAAGAUCACUUCUGCUUCAGGCUGGAAUGCUCCUCCUCCACAGAGUCCAGAAACUGACAUGUGCGAACACCCACCCAGAAGGACAUGUCCGAGAAGGAACGGAAAGAAAAAUGAUGGCCCAGAUGUUCUGUAGCUUGCAGUGACUGCCAAUUCACCACAGACCCCAGCACCUGGGAGGGCAAGGCAGCAUCAGGCUCUUGCUUCCUGGUUUCAGACAGCCAGGGCCCUGAGGGUGGGUGGCAACUCUGACAGCAUGCAGACUGGCCAGGGGAGAAACCUUUAGAAGGGCACUGGCUGAUGGGACUUGGGGGUUGAACACGCAGGGCUGAUUUAUCACUUCCUUACUCAUAAAAAUGUGAUUCAAACUGCU